GGGGGAACAGCUAUAGCUCCGUGGCAGAGCAUCUGCUUUGUGUGCAGAAGGGCGCAGGUUCAAUCCCUGGCAUCUCCCG